rnacentral:rRNA from 6 species
AAUCCAGAGAUGGAUUUGUGCCUUCGGGAACUGUGAGACAGGUGCUGCAUGGCUGUCGUCAGCUCGUGUUGUGAAAUGUUGGGUUAAGUCCCGCAACGAGCGCAACCCUUAUCCUUUGUUGCCAGCGGUUAGGCCGGGAACUCAAAGGAGACUGCCAGUGAUAAACUGGAGGAAGGUGGGGAUGACGUCAAGUCAUCAUGGCCCUUACGACCAGGGCUACACACGUGCUACAAUGGCGCAUACAAAGAGAAGCGACCUCGCGAGAGCAAGCGGACCUCAUAAAGUGCGUCGUAGUCCGGAUUGGAGUCUGCAACUCGACUCCAUGAAGUCGGAAUCGCUAGUAAUCGUGGAUCAGAAUGCCACGGUGAAUACGUUCCCGGGCCUUGUACACACCGCCCGUCACACCAUGGGAGUGGGUUGCAAAAGAAGUAGGUAGCUUAACCUUCGGGAGGGCGCUUACCACUUUGUGAUUCAUGACUGGGGUGAAGUCGUAACAAGGUAACCGUAGGGGAACCUGC